rnacentral:sRNA from 2 species
CUUUCUCUCACCUUCCCCGGACCUAGAAUUUCGCCGUCAUGUCAUAGGUGCAUCUUGCUUUCUCCACCGUUUGUCGUUCUGAUUGUAGCUUGCGUGCGUGCGUGCUUGCUUUCUUUUUUUUUUUUUUGGCUUUUUUUUUAUCAUGAUCUUUCCCUCUUCGCUCCGUUCCCCUGUCUCUCUGCUCGUUGAUGAUUACUCACUCUUCCCUCAGACACUUCUGUUGAAAAAGUGGUGAAUUGGAAUCAAAUAUCAAACAUCGUCUUCCUCCUCACAAUCUCCUCUCGUCGCCUCUUUCUCUGUACAACACAACAAUUCUCUCGUUUCCUGUGACCUUUCUUCCUACCUAUCCACUUUCUCCGUUUGUGUGUUUUUCUUGAUAAACAUAUACACUCUUAUUCCCUUUGACUACCUUAGGCCUACCGAAAUUCGAAAAAAGUGUCAGUCCCUUAUUUUUGCUGGUGAUCCUGUUGAUUUUUUCAUCCUACAUUCUUUUUUUUCCAAGAGUUGAGUAAAUUCCCGUGUGAGAAGAAGAAGAAGAAGAAGAGUAAGAAACGAAGGAAGAAAGCCCCACUUGUGUGAGACCUCCAUCUCACGCAGUUCGACGAUCGAUCCUGAGUUGAUCGGACCGAUAUCGAUCCAGCUGUACCAACAUUGAUACAAUCCCCAUAGGAGAUAGAACAGCGAACAAAAAGGGGAACAGAAAAGCAAAGAAGGAAAAUAAGGGCAAAACAAUUAACCAGAAAGGGAAUGCAACAUCGAGGGGAGAAGGAUAAUUUCCCACAAGAAAAAGUGUGUAUAUGUUGUAUAUUGUGUGCGCGCAUGUAUAUACUCUUGAAGUUGACUUGGAGACACGCGAUACAGCAGCGGCCUUGCGUCUAGAGCUGUGGGCCACUGUCAAGGCGAGCAGCGCUUUUGGGGUUGAAUUGAUUGACCUGAUCCUGAGAUAGCUUGGGACACUCGACCCGACGUCCUUGACAAGCAGCAGACACUGCGUACAUCCUUCCGUGCCUAUUUUCUAGAGUUAUCGAAACCAGCAUACCUGUCUGUGCCACCGUCACACCCACAUAACCACAUACCCAUUAUACAAUGGGCUUCAAGAACGGUCUGAGCGAGCGUCUCGAAGAGCUCCGCUUCUCCUCCCCUCGCUCCCCGCCCUCCGACUCGCCUUUCUCCAGCUACCCCUCGCCCACCAGAGUUCAGACCGCUAGCUAUAUCUCCACCUUCCAACCACCUUCCGAUGUGCGUGCAAACCUCCAACGUCGCUUCACCACCGACGCCAGCAAACUUUCCUCAUGGCCCGCCUUCAACAGUGCUCAGCCGCUGCCUUUACCGGAGUCUCUGGACUUCCUUUCCUCGGCAACGCAGAUUCACAAGUCGCAGUUG